rnacentral:rRNA from 1 species
AGCGAACGCUGGCGGCGUACUUAACACAUGCAAGUCGAACGGGGAUCGUCGGUGUAGCAAUACAUCGGCGGUUCUAGUGGCGUACGGGUGAGUAACACGUGGGUAACCUGCCCUUGAGUUCGGGAUACCCUCUCGAAAGGGAGGCUAAUACCGGAUACGUUCCUCGGGUUGCGAAAUCUGGGGAGGAAAGGUGGCGCAAGCUGCCGCUCUUGGAGGGACUCGCGGCCUAUCAGCUAGUUGGUGCGGUCACGGCGCACCAAGGCGACGACGGGUAGCUGGUCUGAGAGGAUGGCCAGCCACAUUGGGACUGAGAAACGGCCCAGACUCCUACGGGAGGCAGCAGUGGGGAAUCUUGCGCAAUGGGCGAAAGCCUGACGCAGCGACGCCGCGUGGGGGAUGACGGGUUUCGGCUUGUAAACCCCUGUUGCCCGGGACGAACUUCUGCUUUCGAGCAGAUUGACGGUACCGGGUGAGGAAGCACCGGCUAACUCUGUGC